UGGAGCGCAGCCUGAUGCAGCCAUGCCGCGUGCAGAUGAAGCAUCUAUGGUGUGUAAACUGCUUUUAUACAGGAAGAACCCUACCACGUGUGGUAGAUUGACGGUACUGUAGGAAUAAGGAUCGGCUAACUCCGUGCCAGCAGCCGCGGUAAUA
rnacentral:rRNA from 1 species